rnacentral:rRNA from 1 species
GACGAACGCUGGCGGCGUGCUUAACACAUGCAAGUCGAACGGAAAGGCCUGCUUUCCCUUGUGGAUUGCGGGUACUCGAGUGGCGAACGGGUGAGUAACACGUGAGUGAUCUGCCCCCAACUUGGGUAUAAGCCUGGGAAACUGGGUCUAAUUCCCGAUAGGACUGCAGGGUGGUGCCUGUGGUGGAAAACGAUUUUCUAGUGGUUGGGGAUGAGCUCGCGGCCUAUCAGCUUGUUGGUGGGGUAAUGGCCUACCAAGGCGGCGACGGGUAGCCGGCCUGAGAGGGUGGACGGCCACAUUGGGACUGAGAUACGGCCCAGACUCCUACGGGAGGCAGCAGUGGGGAAUAUUGCACAAUGGGCGGAAGCCUGAUGCAGCGACGCCGCGUGGGGGAUGACGGCCUUCGGGUUGUAAACUCCUUUCGACCGCGAGGAAGCCACCUGGUUGGAAGGGUGGUGACGGUAGUGGUAGAAGAAGCACCGGGUAACUACGUG